GUUUCCAUAAGUACAGAGGACGAGGUACAUUUUCUAAAAUGUAUUAGUGUUCGUUUCAAUGUAUUAGUUUCUUCUGCUUUCUUCUUUUGAUCUGUUGGUUAUUUAACUCAUUCACUGUUUUUCUGCAAAGGUAAAAUGGUCUAUAGUCUACCAUGGUGAACCAUCUUUUCCAUUUAGUAGUAGUUUGGGGUGGACAUUAUGUGUAACUUCUGUACACAUGCUUCCAAUCCAUCAGGUACUGACGCAACAGAUCCGCAAUGAUGUGGACAAAGACGCGGUCUUGAUCAGCAUUGGAAGUUGUCGUGCCACGUUUCGCGACUUAGACAGUCUGGCAGGCCCAGAGUUCAACUGGCUGACCAAUGAUAAUACGCGCGUUGCAGUGAUUGCUGCAGAUCACAAACAAUGUUCCACUUAUAUUUCCACAGGUCUACUGAAUGGAACACAUCAAGACUCAAUGAAUUUAGACUGACCACAGCAUACAAGACACUGCACCUGAAGACAGGCACCUAUCUCCCUGCAAUCACCCGACACUGAAUGUUUUGCAUCAAAUAAAAAAAAAAACAUACACUGUCA
rnacentral:lncRNA from 1 species